rnacentral:misc_RNA from 1 species
GCAAACUUGGUCAUUUAGAGGAAGUAAAAGUCGUAACAAGGUUUCCGUAGGUGAACCUGCGGAAGGAUCAUUAACGUAUCUCCGACGGAGAGGGCGCCCCCCAGCUCCGGUCCGCAAGGCCCGUGCAGCGGGCGCGCGCCUUCUGCCGCUCGACCCCACUUGCAAACCCACUGUGCACCUUUGACGGCAGAGGGGCGCGGGUCACCGCACCCGCUCCCCCGAGCCGGACGCAACAAGCCCCAGUCGUAAGAGUUCUUUGCGCGGACCGUCGAGGUCCCGCCCAAAAUUGUAACAACUUUCAACAACGGAUCUCUUGGCUCUCGCAUCGAUGAAGAACGCAGC